rnacentral:rRNA from 1 species
AUUGAACGCUGGCGGCAUGCUUUACACAUGCAAGUCGAACGGUAACAGGCCGCAAGGUGCUGACGAGUGGCGAACGGGUGAGUAAUGCAUCGGAACGUGCCCAGUCGUGGGGGAUAACUACUCGAAAGAGUAGCUAAUACCGCAUACGAUCUAUGGAUGAAAGCGGGGGACCGUAAGGCCUCGCGCGAUUGGAGCGGCCGAUGUCAGAUUAGGUAGUUGGUGGGGUAAAGGCUCACCAAGCCAGCGAUCUGUAGCUGGUCUGAGAGGACGACCAGCCACACUGGGACUGAGACACGGCCCAGACUCCUACGGGAGGCAGCAGUGGGGAAUUUUGGACAAUGGGCGCAAGCCUGAUCCAGCAAUGCCGCGUGCAGGAAGAAGGCCUUCGGGUUGUAAACUGCUUUUGUACGGAACGAAACGGCUCUGGUUAAUACCCGGGGCUAAUGACGGUACCGUAAGAAUAAGCGCCGGCUAACUACGUG